rnacentral:lncRNA from 1 species
GUGGAAACCUCAGGGCACAAGCUCCACACAUUUACAUGCCAACCCUGCAGGUGCACAGUGGCAGGGCAGGAAGCUCUGAGACCCCAAGCAAGAUUUCAGAAAGUCUUUCUUUCCAACUGCAAAAAUAAAUAGGCCUCUAACUCCAGGCACUAAAGGGGUUUGUUGAGUAGUAUUUACACCUGUGGAGAGAGUGGAAGGUGGCACCUGAGAAGUUCAGAGUUUUUCUCUCUGACUCUAACUUGCUUCCCACUAUUCUUGCAGUGCCUUCACUCAGGCCAGAGACCCCAGAGUGUUUUGCUCAAGCUGGGUAAAUAACCCCAGGAAAUGGGAAACUCUAACUUUAAAGAGCUUACUUAAAACGGGCAAGUGCCAGUGUUGGCUGUCUUGAGCCCCUCCAUUCAGAGGAAACUGCCUUGGAGCGGGAGAAACACUAGCCUUGGGCCUUGCAGUGCUGGGCUCUGCUGGAUGGCCUUGGACAAGUCGCCAAAACUCUCUGAGCACUUCUCCCCUUCCAUGAGAUGAAGGUGGCACCACUGCAGGCAGAUACUCUCAUAAGAAUCAAUGGGAAGAAGCCAUUAAGAAGCUAAUUAUUAACCCAGGGCGAGCCUGGUGGCGCAGCAGUUAAGUUCGCACGUUCUGCUUCGGGGGCGCAGGGUUCACCGGUUCAGAUCCCAGAUGUGGACAUGGCACCGCUUGGCAAGCCAUGCUGUGGAAAGUCAUUACCAUACUGUGGCAUCCAACACAGAAUUUGAAGCAAGACGCUCAAGCUAAGGGCCCAGGAAAGACCAGGCAGAGGGUCAAAGAACGACUACUGCCCACAUUCCCACCCCAAGAAAACUAGGUCGAAAAAGAUUCACAAGUGCAUUUUUUUCAAAUCUUCAAUGAACAAAUAAUGUGACAUUUUUUCCACUCUUUUCAAAGCAUAGAAGAGAGAUAAGAAUAAGGAAUAAAGAUUAUCUUGCUAAUUAACAUCAGUACAAAAAUCUCUAAUGUAGCAUUAGCAAACAGAAUCCAACAGAACACUAAAAAAAUGCACCAUGACCAAAUAGGGUUGAUUGAGAAAUGAAAAGGUGGUUCAAGA